CUUUGAUCUAUCGAUGACCNCCCGUGCGAAGGCGUUUACCAGAACACGUUCGACGGUGAGGGAUGAAAGCUGGGGAGCAAACCGGAUUAGAUACCCCGGGUAGUCCCAGCUGUAAACGAUGCAGACUCGAUGAUGCAAUGGCAUAGAGCUAUUGCAGUAUCGCAGGGAAGCCGUUAAGUCUGCCGCCUGGGAAGUACGUACGCAAGUAUGAAACUUAAAGGAAUUGGCGGGGGAGCACCACAAGGGGUGAAGCCUGCGGUUCAAUUGGAGUCAACGCCAGAAAUCUUACCCGGAGAGACAGCAGAAUGAAGGUCAGGCUGAAGACCUUACCAGACAAGCUGAGAGGUGGUGCAUGGCCGUCGUCAGCUCGUGCCGUGAGAUGUCCUGUUAAGUCAGGUAACGAGCGAGAUCCCUGCCACUAGUUGCUAUUAUUACUCUCAGGAGUAGUGGGGCGAAUUAGUGGGACCGCCACAGUUAAUGUGGAGGAAGGAAGGGGCCACGGCAGGUCGGUAUGCCCCGAAACUCUGGGGCCACACGCGGGCUGCAAUGGUAGUGACAAUGGGCUCCUAACUCGAAAGAGAGAGGCAAUCCACAAACACUACCACAGUUAUGACUGAGGGCUGUAACUCGCCCUCACGAAUAUGGAAUCCCUAGUAACUGCGUGUCAUUACCGCGCGGUGAGUACGUCCCUGCUCC
rnacentral:rRNA from 1 species